CUACGUGCCAGCAGCCGCGGUAAUACGGAAGGUCCAGGCGUUAUCCGGAUUUAUUGGGUUUAAAGGGAGCGUAGGCUGGAGAUUAAGUGUGUUGUGAAAUGUAGACGCUCAACGUCUGAAUUGCAGCGCAUACUGGUUUCCUUGAGUACGCACAACGUUGGCGGAAUUCGUCGUGUAGCGGUGAAAUGCUUAGAUAUGACGAAGAACUCCGAUUGCGAAGGCAGCUGACGGGAGCGCAACUGACGCUUAAGCUCGAAGGUGCGGGUAUCAAACAGGAUUAGAUACCCUGGUAGUCCGCACAGUAAACGAUGGAUGCCCGCUGUUGGUACCUGGUAUCAGCGGCUAAGCGAAAGCAUUAAGCAUCCCACCUGGGGAGUACGCCGGCAACGGUGAAACUCAAAGGAAUUGACGGGGGCCCGCACAGGCGGUGGAUUAUGUGGUUUAAUUCGAUGAUACGCGAGGAACCUUACCAAGACUUAAAUGGGAAUUGACAGCUAUAGAGAUA
rnacentral:rRNA from 1 species